UACGUAGGGUGCAAGCGUUGUCCGGAAUUAUUGGGCGUAAAGGGCUCGUAGGCGGUCCGUCACGUCGGGAGUGAAAACUUGGGGCUUAACCCCAAGCCUGCUUCCGAUACGGGCGGACUAGAGGUAGGCAGGGGAGAACGGAAUUCCUGGUGUAGCGGUGAAAUGCGCAGAUAUCAGGAGGAACACCGGUGGCGAAGGCGGGUCUCUGGGCAACAACUGACGCUGGAGGAGCGAAAGCGUGGGGAGCGAACAGG
rnacentral:rRNA from 1 species